rnacentral:rRNA from 1 species
GUUGUGAGGUUAAGCGACUAAGCGUACACGGUGGAUGCCCUGGCAGUCAGAGGCGAUGAAGGACGUGCUAAUCUGCGAUAAGCGUCGGUAAGGUGAUAUGAACCGUUAUAACCGGCGAUUUCCGAAUGGGGAAACCCAGUGUGAUUCGUCACACUAUCAUUAACUGAAUCCAUAGGUUAAUGAGGCGAACCGGGGGAACUGAAACAUCUAAGUACCCCGAGGAAAAGAAAUCAACCGAGAUUCCCCCAGUAGCGGCGAGCGAACGGGGAGCAGCCCAGAGCCUGAAUCAGUGUGUGUGUUAGUGGAAGCGUCUGGAAAGGCGUGCGAUACAGGGUGACAGCCCCGUACACAAAAAUGCACAUACUGUGAGCUCGAUGAGUAGGGCGGGACACGUGGUAUCCUGUCUGAAUAUGGGGGGACCAUCCUCCAAGGCUAAAUACUCCUGACUGACCGAUAGUGAACCAGUACCGUGAGGGAAAGGCGAAAAGAACCCCGGCGAGGGGAGUGAAAAAGAACCUGAAACCGUGUACGUACAAGCAGUGGGAGCACGCUUAGGCGUGUGACUGCGUACCUUUUGUAUAAUGGGUCAGCGACUUAUAUUCUGUAGCAAGGUUAACCGAAUAGGGGAGCCGAAGGGAAACCGAGUCUUAACUGGGCGUUAAGUUGCAGGGUAUAGACCCGAAACCCGGUGAUCUAGCCAUGGGCAGGUUGAAGGUUGGGUAACACUAACUGGAGGACCGAACCGACUAAUGUUGAAAAAUUAGCGGAUGACUUGUGGCUGGGGGUGAAAGGCCAAUCAAACCGGGAGAUAGCUGGUUCUCCCCGAAAGCUAUUUAGGUAGCGCCUCGUGAAUUCAUCUCCGGGGGUAGAGCACUGUUUCGGCAAGGGGGUCAUCCC